GAGCUGUUUUAAGAAAGGGCAUGCAGAACUGCUCUGUGUAGUACUGGUAGUUUUCAUUUAGAAUGCAUCUUUUGAGCUGCUCAAGGGUGUUCACAAGUGGGGGCCAAGUCUGAUGCAGGAAAUCACAGAAGCGCUUGGUACGAAGACCUUUAAUCCAGCCUUCCAGCAGGGAAAUCAGAUGAAAUUCCCACUGACAUGCUUGCUCUUCAUAGGAAUCCCAAGCCAGCUAAGAAGAAAAAAUGAGGGUGGUGGUGGUUGUUGUUAUUCUUAGUGUUUUCUUCAUUUGAUUUCCUAUUUUCUUCCUCCCGCUAGCACAAUAUUUAGUGAUUGUACACUUAAAAUGGGAAUUUGGGGAGGGAUUGCAGAACUUCCCUCUUUGAAGCAGAGAUGCUCAUUAUGCUCUGUCCACAAGAUUGUUCUGGGUUUUUUUUCCAAGUUAUUUUGU